rnacentral:misc_RNA from 1 species
ACCUCCACCGCCUCCGUAUCCACCACCACCAGCUUCUCCUGAACCAUAGCCUCCUCCACUACCUCCUCCAUGACCACCUCCCCCUCCAUAUCCACUACCAGGUAAACCCCCUGCUCCUCCAUAACCACCACCACUUCCUCCCCCUUCUCCACCUCCAUAACCACCUCCUGGAACCCCUCCUGCACCAUAUCCACCACCACUACCACUUCCACCUCCACCUCCACCACCAUAUGCA